rnacentral:rRNA from 1 species
ACGGGUGAGUAACGCGUGGGUAACCUGCCUCACACUGGGGGAUAACAGUCAGAAAUGACUGCUAAUACCGCAUAAGCGCACGGGAUUGCAUGAUCCAGUGUGAAAAACUCCGGUGGUGUGAGAUGGACCCGCGUUGGAUUAGCCAGUUGGCAGGGUAACGGCCUACCAAAGCGACGAUCCAUAGCCGGCCUGAGAGGGUGGACGGCCACAUUGGGACUGAGACACGGCCCAGACUCCUACGGGAGGCAGAAUG